AUGAGUACUGGUACGUUUAACACAGACACAGCAACUGAUUCUACAGACGAUACUCCUGUCAGCACAACUGCUGCCACUACAACUACUACAACACAAGCUCCUGAGGAGAUGAGUACUGGUACGUUUUACACAGACACAACAACUGAUUCUACAGGCAAUUCUACUGUCAGCACAACUGCUGCCACUACAACUACUACAACUCAAGGAAAGGUCUUCCCUGGUAGUUUGUCUUUGAAGAGGGAUUUUAAAGAAGGAAUGAAUGACAGAAAGUCUGAGUUGUUUCAAGAAACUGCAGGUCCGAUUGAGAAAGUGGUUAGAGAUUGA
ensembl:lncRNA